rnacentral:sRNA from 2 species
CAGGGACGAGGUGCUUGUUUGGGCAUGAGGAGCCCCUGUAGGCCACCCACCAACUGAGAUGAGGAUGCGGGCGACUUACUGAAUGCCACUCUUCUUUCUUUUCAGUUAUCCCCAUAAGGGGAAUAACAGGAUAGGUCUCAUGGCAAAAGCUGAACCCUGAUGUGUGAAUGAUUGUGUCAACGAGCAGAAUUCCAGGCUGGAAAAGAGUUGAGGAAAGAGGGAUGAAACCGGGCGAUGAGCGGGAUUUUAUACCUUGUUUAUAUACCCUGGAAUAUACGGCAGUCGCCGUCGAGAACCAGAUGCAGG